rnacentral:rRNA from 1 species
GUGCCGGCAGCCGCGGUAAUACCGGCAGCCCAAGUGAUGGCCGCUGUUAUUGGGCCUAAAGCGUCCGUAGCUGGCCGCACAAGUCCGUCGGGAAAUCCGCCCGCUCAACGGGCGGCCGUCCGGCGGAACCUGUGUGGCUUGGGACCGGGAGGCCUGAGGGGUACGAUCGGGGUAGGAGUGAAAUCCUGUAAUCCUGGACGGACCGCCGAUGGCGAAAGCACGUCGGGAAGACGGAUCCGACGGUGAGGGACGAAAGCCAGGGUCUCCAACCGGAUUAGAAACCCGUGUAGUCC